rnacentral:rRNA from 1 species
UGGGGAAUAUUGGACAAUGGGCGAAAGCCUGAUCCAGCCAUGCCGCGUGUGUGAAGAAGGUCUUCGGAUUGUAAAGCACUUUAAGUUGGGAGGAAGGGCAGUAAGCGAAUACCUUGCUGUUUUGACGUUACCGACAGAAUAAGCACCGGCUAACUCUGUGCCAGCAGCCGCGGUAAUACAGAGGGUGCAAGCGUUAAUCGGAAUUACUGGGCGUAAAGCGCGCGUAGGUGGUUCGUUAAGUUGAAUGUGAAAGCCCCAGGCUCAACCUGGGAACUGCAUCCAAAGCUGGCGAGCUAGAGGAGGGCAGAGGGUGGUGGAAUUUCCUGUGUAGCGGUGAAAUGCGUAGAUAUAGGAAGGAACACCAGUGGCGAAAGCGACCACCUGGGCUCAUACUGACACUGAGGUGCGAAAGCGUGGGGAGCAAACAGG